rnacentral:rRNA from 1 species
AACGAACGCUGGCGGCAUGCCUAACACAUGCAAGUCGAACGAAGCCUUCGGGCUUAGUGGCGCACGGGUGCGUAACGCGUGGGAAUCUGCCCUUGGGUUCGGAAUAACAGUUAGAAAUGACUGCUAAUACCGGAUGAUGUCUUCGGACCAAAGAUUUAUCGCCCAAGGAUGAGCCCGCGUAGGAUUAGGUAGUUGGUGGGGUAAUGGCCCACCAAGCCGACGAUCCUUAGCUGGUCUGAGAGGAUGAUCAGCCACACUGGGACUGAGACACGGCCAAGACUCCUACGGGAGGCAGCAGUGGGGAAUAUUGGACAAGGGGCGAAAGCCUGAUCCAGCAAUGCCGCGUGAGUGAUGAAGGCCUUAGGGUUGUAAAGCUCUUUUACCAGGGAUGAUAAUGACAGUACCUGGAGAAUAAGCUCCGGCUAACUCCGUGCCAGCAGCCGCAGUAA